GGUACGGCGGCGGCUACACAUGCAGUCGAGCGGUAGCACAGGGGAGCUUGCUCCCUGGGUGACGAGCGGCGGACGGGUGAGUAAUGUCUGGGAAACUGCCUGAUGGAGGGGGAUAACUACUGGAAACGGUAGCUAAUACCGCAUAACGUCGCAAGACCAAAGAGGGGGACCUUCGGGCCUCUUGCCAUCAGAUGUGCCCAGAUGGGAUUAGCUAGUAGGUGGGGUAAUGGCUCACCUAGGCGACGAUCCCGAUUAACGUAGAGAGGAUGACCAGCCACACUGGAACUGAGACACGGUCCAGACUCCUACGGGAGGCAGCAGUGGGGAAUAUUGCACAAUGGGCGCAAGCCUGAUGCAGCCAUGCCGCGUGUGUGAAGAAGGCCUUCGGGUUGUAAAGCACUUUCAGCGAGGAGGAAGGUGGUGAACUUAAUACGUUCAUCAAUUGACGUUACUCGCAGAAGAAGCACCGGCUAACUCCGUGCCAGCAGCCGCGGUAAUACGGAGGGUGCAAGCGUUAAUCGGAAUUACUGGGCGUAAAGCGCACGCAGGCGGUUUGUUAAGUCAGAUGUGAAAUCCCCGGGCUCAACCUGGGAACUGCAUUUGAAACUGGCAAGCUAGAGUCUCGUAGAGGGGGGUAGAAUUCCAGGUGUAGCGGUGAAAUGCGUAGAGAUCUGGAGGAAUACCGGUGGCGAAGGCGGCCCCCUGGACGAAGACUGACGCUCAGGUGCGAAAGCGUGGGGAGCAAACAGGAUUAGAUACCU
rnacentral:rRNA from 1 species